GACGAACGCUGGCGGCGUGUCUAAUACAUGCAAGUCGAGCGGACUUUCAAGAAGCUUGCUUUUUGAAAGUUAGCGGCGGACGGGUGAGUAACACGUGGGCAACCUGCCUGCAAGACGGGGAUAACUCCGGGAAACCGGGGCUAAUACCGGAUAAUAUCUUCCUUCGCAUGAAGGAAGGUUGAAAGGCGGCGCAAGCUGCCGCUUGCAGAUGGGCCCGCGGCGCAUUAGCUAGUUGGUGAGGUAACGGCUCACCAAGGCGACGAUGCGUAGCCGACCUGAGAGGGUGAUCGGCCACACUGGGACUGAGACACGGCCCAGACUCCUACGGGAGGCAGCAGUAGGGAAUCUUCCGCAAUGGACGAAAGUCUGACGGAGCAACGCCGCGUGAGCGAAGAAGGUCUUCGGAUCGUAAAGCUCUGUUGUCAGGGAAGAACAAGUACCGUUCGAACAGGGCGGUACCUUGACGGUACCUGACCAGAAAGCCACGGCUAACUACGUG
rnacentral:rRNA from 1 species